rnacentral:rRNA from 1 species
AUACGGAGGGUGCAAGCGUUAAUCGGAAUUACUGGGCGUAAAGCGCUCGUAGGCGGCUUGUUAAGUCGGAUGUGAAAGCCCCGGGCUCAACCUGGGAACUGCAUUCGAUACUGGCAGGCUAGAGUAUAGUAGAGGCAAGUGGAAUUCCGGGUGUAGCGGUGAAAUGCGUAGAUAUCCGGAGGAACAUCAGUGGCGAAGGCGACUUGCUGGACUAAUACUGACGCUGAGGAGCGAAAGCGUGGGGAGCAAACAGGAUUAGAUACCCCAGUAGUCC